rnacentral:rRNA from 1 species
AGGACUGGUGGAGCGCUUAGAAGUGAGAAUGCCGGUAUGAGUAGCGAAAGAUGAGUGAGAAUCUCAUCCACCGAAUGCCUAAGGUUUCCUGAGGAAGGCUCGUCCGCUCAGGGUUAGUCGGGACCUAAGCCGAGGCUGAAAAGCGUAGGCGAUGGACAACAGGUUGAUAUUCCUGUACCACCUUUAAAUCGUUUGAGCAAUGGGGGGACGCAGGAGGAUAGGGUAAGCGUGCUGUUGGAUUAGCACGUCCAAGCAGUUAGGCUGGUAAUGAGGCAAAUCCCAUUACCACAUAAGCGGAGCUGUGACGGCGAGGGAAAUAUAGUACCGAAGUUCCUGAUUCCACACUGCCAAGAAAAGCCUCUAGCGAGAUUUAGGGUGCCCGUACCGCAAACCGACACAGGUAGGCGAGGAGAGAAUCCUAAGGUGAGCGAGAGAACUCUCGUUAAGGAACUCGGCAAAAUGACCCCGUAACUUCGGGAGAAGGGGUGCUCUUGCGGGUGCAAGCCUGCGAGAGCCGCAGUGAAUAGGCCCAGGCGACUGUUUAGCAAAAACACAGGUCUCUGCGAAGCCGCAAGGCGAAGUAUAGGGGCUGACACCUGCCCGGUGCUGGAAGGUUAAGAGGAGGGGUUAGCACGUUAGUGCGAAGCUCUGAAUUGAAGCCCC